rnacentral:lncRNA from 1 species
GAUGUGCUUUGGGUCAUAAUGUAUGGGUAAUUUUGUUCCUCAGCUACUACCUUGUGUGUUGAGUUGCGAUACAGAUUAAUAGGGAGACUUUUUCCUUAAUAUUAUUCUUUCAACAUUCUUAUGAUAGGCCGUUGAAGUCCUUUAUGUUGCAGGUUGUGGGAAUGAAUAUGGAAACUUUUGUUGUUCCUUAGUAUGCUUUCUUUGACAUUUCUGUUUCUUUAUAUGACGGGGAUUUGCUGAUGUUAUUGUCCUCUCUUUUGGUUCAAGUGUUUGAUACUUGUAAGACUUUAUUAGCUGUUUGUUAACAUCAUUUGUUCAAUUUUGUUAUGAUAAAAUAUGUUGCUCUUCAUGUCCUUCAUUGUGCUUUGGGGUCGGCUAUGGAUGACUAAGAGUAUCCAUUUUUCCUCAUAUCAAUUUUAACCUUCUUGCUUUCUUGGGUGGAUUAUGCUGCUAUCAUUGUGAUUACUCUUGCUUCAUACCACGUUCAGGUGACUGGUGGGGUACUUGGAGACGGUCAGGUAUAUGCUAAAGAUGAGAUGGGAAAGGAGCGUAGCUACACUACAACGAAAAGGG